AGGUCGCUGCUAGAGCCGGACAAGGUCAUGACUUGCCUUACCUGGUGAGGUACUGGCUAGGAAGAGUGCAAGCCGCCACCACCACAUACCAGAUGGUGCCGUUAAGGACAUCGUACUGCUGAUGAUCUACAGCUUAACUACAGAAAGUUGAAAUGUGCCUAGCUCGAACCCACUUGUCACUCCAGCGUCUUCCUUUCUACUUCAUAUAUGGUUCUGUCUGUAGUUCUCUAUUGGCGGCGGAAGACGAGGUGUGCGCUGAGGAUCCCAACGAGGAAG